CUGCCGUCGGAAGACGGUAGGGGCCUGUGCUAAUCACACAGGGUAGAGUAAGAAGUCCUAUGGAUAUAGUGCCCCAGGUGCUAAGAUGGAUAAUCCGCAGCGAAGCCCCUAGACCAGGGGAACGUUCACAGACUAAGUGGUUGUGGGUGGGACACCGUCCUGCUUAAGAUAUAGUCGGGCCUGCUGGGAAACCUCCAGGGUAUUCGCAAGAUACGUGAUCGAAGCCAGGGGACGGUUCACACGAACCUCCCCAAGCUUGAUCACAGAACCGCUCCGUAGGUGAACCUGCGGAGGGAUCAUUACAGAGUUCAUGCCCUUACGGGUAGAUCUCCCACCCUGUGUUAUUAUUACCUUUGUUGCUUUGGCGGGCCGCCCGGCCUCGGCCAGGCUACCGGCUCCGGCUGGUAAGCGCCCGCCAGAGGACCCCAAACCCUGAAUGUUAGUGUCGUCUGAGUACUAUAUAAUAGUUAAAACUUUCAACAACGGAUCUCUUGGUUCUGGCAUCGAUGAAGAACGCAGCGAAAUGCGAUAAGUAAUGUGAAUUGCAGAAUUCAGUGAAUCAUCGAAUCUUUGAACGCACAUUGCGCCCCUUGGUAUUCCGAGGGGCAUGCCUGUUCGAGCGUCAUUACAACCCUCAAGCAAUGCUUGGUGUUGGGCCCCGCCGCUCACCCGGCGGGCUCUAAAAUCAGUGGCGGUGCCGUCGGGCUCUGAGCGUAGUAAUUCUUCUCGCUAUAGGGUCCCGGUGGAUGCUGGCCAACAA
rnacentral:rRNA from 1 species